rnacentral:rRNA from 1 species
UACGUAGGGGGCAAGCGUUGUCCGGAAUCAUUGGGCGUAAAGAGCGUGUAGGCGGCCAGAAAAGUCCGCUGUGAAAACUCGAGGCUCAACUUCGAGCUGUCGGUGGAAACUUUCUGGCUAGAGUCCGGAAGAGGAGAAUGGAAUUCCUGGUGUAGCGGUGAAAUGCGCAGAUAUCGGGAGGAACACCAAUGGCGAAGGCAGCUCGCUGGGACGGUACUGACGCUGAGACGCGAAAGCGUGGGGAGCAAACAGG